rnacentral:rRNA from 1 species
UCACUCUAGAAACACUUUCCAGUACCUCUACUUUGUUACGACUUAUUCCAAUUUAUAAAUGAAAGCGACGGGCAAUAUGUACAUAUUUUAAUUUUUAAUCAUUUUAUUAUAUUAAAUAAAAUUACAUUUAAAUCCACCUUCAUAUUUUUAUUACAAAAAAAAAUCCAUUUAAAUAAAUUUAUUGUAAUCCAUUAUAUUCUUAAUUAUAUUCUACAUCUUGAUCUGAAUUAAUUUCUAUUCUUAAUUUUUAAAUAUUAUUCUUAUUUAAAAAUAUUUUUUUAACAACGAUAUAUAAAAUUUUAAAUUAAGUAAAUUUAAUCGUGGAUUAUCAAUUAUUAAACAGAUUCCUCUAAAUGAACUAAAAUACCGCCAAAUUAUUUAAGUUUCAAUAAAUUAUUAUUUACUAUUUUAGUAUUUAUAAAUUAAAUUUUA